rnacentral:rRNA from 1 species
UACGGAGGGUGCAAGCGUUAUCCGGAAUCAUUGGGUUUAAAGGGUCCGUAGGUGGAUAAUUAAGUCAGAGGUGAAAGUUUGCAGCUUAACUGUAAAAUUGCCUUUGAUACUGGUUAUCUUGAAUCAUUGUGAAGUGGUUAGAAUAUGUAGUGUAGCGGUGAAAUGCAUAGAUAUUACAUAGAAUACCAAUUGCGAAGGCAGAUCACUAACAAUGUAUUGACACUGAUGGACGAAAGCGUAGGUAGCGAACGGG